AUUGAACGCUGGCGGCAGGCCUAACACAUGCAAGUCGAACGGUAACAGGAAGCAGCUUGCUGCUUCGCUGACGAGUGGCGGACGGGUGAGUAAUGUCUGGGAAACUGCCUGAUGGAGGGGGAUAACUACUGGAAACGGCAGCUAAUACCGCAUAACGUCGCAAGACCAAAGAGGGGGACCUUCGGGCCUCUUGCCAUCGGAUGUGCCCAGAUGGGAUUAGCUAGUAGGUGGGGUAACGGCUCACCUAGGCGACGUUCCCUAGCUGGUCUGAGAGGAUGACCAGCCACACUGGAACUGAGACACGGUCCAGACUCCUACGGGAGGCAGCAGUGGGGAAUAUUGCACAAUGGGCGCAAGCCUGAUGCAGCCAGGCCGCGUGUAUGAAGAAGGCCUUCGGGUUGUAAAGUACUUUCAGCGGGGAGGAAGGCGAUAAGGUUAAUAACCUUGUCGAUUGACGUUACCCGCAGAAGAAGCACCGGCUAACUCCGUGCCAGCCGCCGCCGUAA
rnacentral:rRNA from 1 species